rnacentral:lncRNA from 1 species
UGAAAAUAACGAUGAUUUAUUUUCAUUUAUGUCACAUUUUCAUAAAUGGCAUCUAAUUUCAGAAAACAAAACUCAAGUCUGCAAAAAAUGCACGUACAAAUCAUCUAAGGAGAUAAUUCUACAGAGAUAUACAAAGUAGGACCAGGGUCUAUAAGAUUGAGUCAGAAAGCUCACACCCUAGGGUCUGCUCAGGUCCCUGUUCCAACAGAGGGAAACAGCCAAGGAGUCAGGUACCCAAGGGAGCCACUGUCACUUAAAAAAAAAAAAAAAUAAGAACAAAGGAAAAAAGGUAAAGUAGCUACUCAUCGAGUAAAAGGCAGCAGUUCAGAUUCAGCUCUGAGCAGGUAUUAAGCCACUCUGUCUGCAAAGAAAAUACAAACUUGGGGAGUGGGGUCAGCUACGUGUGCUAAUUUUUUAAACAUACACAUUCUACCAAGAAACCCAUCUCUGGUCAUCCCCCUCCCCAGGGAGCAUUUGAUGAUAGAAACAGAAAACUUCUAGUGUGGGGAGAGUGGUUCAUAUUGUUAGCAAUUUGGGUGAUAGAACCUUUU